rnacentral:rRNA from 1 species
GAUGAACGCUGGCGGCGUGCCUAAUACAUGCAAGUCGAGCGAACAGACGAGGAGCUUGCUCCUUUGACGUUAGCGGCGGACGGGUGAGUAACACGUAGGUAACCUACCUAUAAGACUGGGAUAACUUCGGGAAACCGGAGCUAAUACCGGAUAAUAUUUCGAACCGCAUGGUUCGAUAGUGAAAGAUGGCUUUGCUAUCACUUAUAGAUGGACCUGCGCCGUAUUAGCUAGUUGGUAAGGUAACGGCUUACCAAGGCAACGAUACGUAGCCGACCUGAGAGGGUGAUCGGCCACACUGGAACUGAGACACGGUCCAGACUCCUACGGGAGGCAGCAGUAGGGAAUCUUCCGCAAUGGGCGAAAGCCUGACGGAGCAACGCCGCGUGAGUGAUGAAGGUCUUCGGAUCGUAAAACUCUGUUAUUUGGGAAGAACAAACGUGUAAGUAACUGUGCACGUCUUGACGGUACCUAAUCAGAAAGCCACGGCUAACUACGUG